rnacentral:rRNA from 1 species
UACGGAGGGUGCAAGCGUUAUCCGGAUUUAUUAGGUUUAAAGGGUCCGCAGGCGGAAUAUUAAGUCAGUGGUGAAAGCCUACAGCUCAACUGUAGAACUGCCAUUGAUACUGAUAUUCUUGAGUAUGGAUGAAGUGGGCGGAAUAUGUCAUGUAGCGGUGAAAUGCAUAGAUAUGACAUUGAACACCAAUUGCGAAGGCAGCUCACUAAACCAUUAUUGACGCUCAUGGACGAAAGCGUGGGGAGCGAACAGG